rnacentral:rRNA from 1 species
UACGGGAGGCAGCAGUGAGGAAUAUUGGACAAUGGAGGCAACUCUGAUCCAGCCAUGCCGCGUGCAGGAUGACGGCCCUAUGGGUUGUAAACUGCUUUUAUACAGGAAGAAACCUUGGUACGUGUACCAAGCUGACGGUACUGUAAGAAUAAGGAUCGGCUAACUCCGUGCCAGCAGCCGCGGUAAU